rfam:Burkholderia glathei strain DSM 50014 contig112, whole genome shotgun sequence.
AAGAAAGUGACUGCCGCCCCGCACAGGGGCGAAGCCAAUAGACCAAUAUCAAAACAAGUUUCAUAGAAGCCGAAGCGCAUCAAACGGUUCAACAAACCCCAACCCCAAGCGCCAACG